UACGAAGGGAACUAGCGUUGUUCGGAAUCACUGGGCGUAAAGCGCACGUAGGCGGAUUUGCCAGUCAGGGGUGAAAUCCCGGGGCUCAACCUCGGAACUGCCUUUGAUACAGCAAGUCUUGAGUUCGAGAGAGGUGGGUGGAAUUCCUAGUGUAGAGGUGAAAUUCGUAGAUAUUAGGAAGAACACCGGUGGCGAAGGCGGCCCACUGGCUCGACACUGACGCUGAGGUGCGAAAGCGUGGGGAGCAAACAGGG
rnacentral:rRNA from 1 species